rnacentral:rRNA from 1 species
UGGCGGCAGGCCUAACACAUGCAAGUCGAGCGGUAACAUUUCUAGCUUGCUAGAAGAUGACGAGCGGCGGACGGGUGAGUAACGCGUAGAAAUCUACCUAGUAGUGGGGGAUAGCCCAGAGAAAUUUGGAUUAAUACCGCAUACGCCCUACGGGGGAAAGCGGGGGAUCUUCGGACCUCGUGCUAUUAGAUGAGUCUGCGUCGGAUUAGCUUGUUGGUGAGGUAAUGGCUCACCAAGGCGACGAUCCGUAGCUGGUCUGAGAGGAUGACCAGCCACACUGGAACUGAGACACGGUCUAGACUCCUACGGGAGGCAGCAGUGGGGAAUAUUGCACAAUGGGCGCAAGCCUGAUGCAGCCAUGCCGCGUGUGUGAAGAAGGCCUUAGGGUUGUAAAGCACUUUCAGCAGUGAGGAAAGGGGUGUCGUUAAUAGCGCCAUCCUGUGACGUUAACUGCAGAAGAAGGACCGGCUAACUCCGUG